AAGUGCCCAAUAAAUGUUAUUGUCACCAUCGUCAUCGUCAUCAGCAGCAGCAGCAGCAGCAACAGCAGCCCUUCCUGAAGUAUGAGAAAUGUAUAUAGAUGCUGGAGGCCAAGCUGGGGCAUGCUAAGUACGAAGGCAAGCCCUGCUGAAACCACCCCUGCUACUAUGCCAUGUUUGGGCCCAAAGGCUUUGGGCAAGGUAGAGCUGAGAGUCACACUUU
rnacentral:lncRNA from 10 species